rnacentral:lncRNA from 1 species
CAAUAGAUCACAGUUCGUGUGCAUUAAUGUUUCUAUUUGUCAAUGUUAGACAUUAUGAAGAAAAUAAUCUUCUUGAAGUGGAAAGGAAAGCAUUUUAAGCGUCUCCAUCAUCAGGGUUCAGAGGAGGGGCUCCAGGAUGUCACAAACCCCCCAUUUCCAUCUCAUCCUGCUGUUCAACAGCCAACUUCAACUGAAAGUCUGGAGGAUGUUGUGUUUGUUGAUGAGCAGAUGUGUGCCUGGAAAAAGCCGGAGUAUGUUCAGCCGGAACAGGUUCCUUAUGAUGAGCACAGGUACAGAGCCCAACAGCAUAGGGGCCAGUACGGGGGCCACUGUAAAAGUGGCCCUAAAGUAUUUAAUGAUGUCAGGCAUGGGGCCCCAAACAUUGAGGACCAUAAAGUCAACACCGUCUUGCAGAAAGCGGAUUAUUACCCCCAACAAAAUCCUGGCCCCUCAACCAUCCCUUCCAUUCCAGCUGUGGUACACCAUGUUGAGCUCCCAACCUUUACCCCCCCACCCAGAAAUGAGGUGAUCGUGACAAAGGAGCCAUACAUUAAAAAACCCCCC